UACAGAGGUCUCAAGCGUUGUUCGGAUUCAUUGGGCGUAAAGGGUGCGUAGGCGGCGCGGUAAGUCGGGUGUGAAAUCUCGGAGCUUAACUCCGAAACUGCAUUCGAUACUGCCGUGCUUGAGGACUGGAGAGGAGACUGGAAUUUACGGUGUAGCGGUGAAAUGCGUAGAUAUCGUAAGGAAGACCAGUGGCGAAGGCGACUUCCUGGCCUGUUCUUGACGCUGAGGCGCGAAAGCUGGGGGAGCAAACGGG
rnacentral:rRNA from 1 species